rnacentral:lncRNA from 1 species
GGGGCUCUUGGCUAUUUUCAUUUUGAGCUUACUGUCAAGAUUAUCAUAAAAUAUUUUUGUUACCUAAUCAAGAUAUGUUGCCAAAUGCCAAAAAGGGAGAGAUUGAAAGUACAUUUUAUGCCUUUAAUUGGUUUUUGUUGUUUAUGACAACACAACAAAUGUCCAACUCCAUGCAUGAGUCUAAAAACAGUGUUGCCAUAUCAUGAAAGGAUGAUGGAUGUCUAGA